UACAGAGGGUGCGAGCGUUGUCCGGAAUCACUGGGCGUAAAGGGCGCGUAGGUGGCGCUGCAAGUCGGUGGUGAAAGCUCGAUGCUUAACAUCGAGUCGGCCAUCGAAACUGCAGGGCUCGAGCACUGUAGGGGCAGAUGGAAUUCCGGGUGUAGCGGUGGAAUGCGCAGAUAUCGGGAGGAACACCAAUUGCGAAGGCAGCUCGCUGGGACGUUACUGACGCUGAGACGCGAAAGCCAGGGGAGCGAACGGG
rnacentral:rRNA from 1 species